AGCGAACGCUGGCGGCAGGCCUAACACAUGCAAGUCGAACGAACUCUUCGGAGUUAGUGGCGGACGGGUGAGUAACACGUGGGAACGUGCCUUUUGGUUCGGAAUAACUCAGGGAAACUUGUGCUAAUACCGAAUGUGCCCUUCGGGGGAAAGAUUUAUCGCCAUUAGAGCGGCCCGCGUCUGAUUAGCUAGUUGGUGAGGUAACGGCUCACCAAGGCGACGAUCAGUAGCUGGUCUGAGAGGAUGACCAGCCACACUGGGACUGAGACACGGCCCAGACUCCUACGGGAGGCAGCAGUGGGGAAUCUUGCGCAAUGGGCGAAAGCCUGACGCAGCCAUGCCGCGUGAAUGAUGAAGGUCUUAGGAUGGUAAAAUUCUUUCACCGGGGACGAUAAUGACGGUACCCGGAGAAGAAGCCCCGGCUAACUGCGU
rnacentral:rRNA from 1 species